AACGAACGCUGGCGGCAUGCCUAACACAUGCAAGUCGAACGAGACCUUCGGGUCUAGUGGCGCACGGGUGCGUACCGCGUGGGAACCUGCCCUUAGGUUCGGAAUAACUCCCCGAAAGGGGUGCUAAUACCGGAUAAUGUCUUCGGACCCAAGAUUUAUCGCCUUUGGAUGGGCCCGCGUUGGAUUAGCUAGUUGGUAGGGUAAAAGCCUACCAAGGCGACGAUUCAUAGCUGGUCUGAGAGGAUGACCAGCCACCCUGGGACUGAGACACGGCCCAGACUCCUACGGGAGGCAGCAGUGGGGAAUAUUGCACAAUGGGCGAAAGCCUGAUCCAGCAAUGCAGCGUGAGUGAUGAAGGCCUGAGGGUUGUAAAGCUCUUUUACCCGGGAGGAUAAUGACAGUACCGGGAGAAUAAGCUCCGGCUAACUCCGUG
rnacentral:rRNA from 1 species